rnacentral:lncRNA from 1 species
UCAGACUCCAAAAAUUUCUAUUACAACGAGUUCAAGGCACAACAGACCUGAUCACAAAAAUUCCAGAAUUCUUCAAAAUACAUUUUCACAUAUCCACCAGCCACCUACCGCCAAAAGAGUCACCAACUGGAACUUUAAGCUUCAAAAUGCCUGCCACCACCGUCCAGUUGUCCAUGCUCGUGUAUUAUCCUCACUCUACACAAAGGGGAAAAAGAGGGGUAUGAGCUAAAUGCUCAAUAAGUGAAUCAGUACCCUUGCAUUCCAACCUAGAUGCACUCAUAAAGGAUAACAGACCCACAACUAUCACAAUUCAUGCAGGAUCACAGAAUACAAUCAUACAUCGAUAUCUACAGACAGAGUGAGCAGAAACAGUUUUGAUCUCAAGGCUUUCCAUGUUUCAUGAACUAAACAGUCAUACAGACAUUUAUCACUAUCACAUAGCUAAAGCUUGGCUAGAGCAUACAGUUCCGACAGACAAAAAUUAAUAAGGCCUACUCCCAAAGUAGAAGUAACAUUGAUCAGGUUAAGCCAGUCCUGUAACUUGGGACAUCUACUCUCCUUCAGGAGGGAGGACAAUGACAAGUGGGGGACCACUUCGUAAUGUCAUCACUCACGCACAUAGUCCUCAGCAUGUUUUGGGGUUUACGAUAGGUUGAGGCCUUGCAAGACAUGACUCUCUCCUUGUACCUUCAGGCGAGAGGGUGUUACACUACCAUUGGAAGACCCAAUGCUUAGUGCCCACAAUAGAGUGGGGGGAGUGACCCUACCAGUUAUUUGCAGUUACAUCUCGACUCUACUUCUGUCAUAGGAGUCAAGAUACAGUAUACCCCACUACCAAUGGAGGACCCAUUGCGUAGCAGGCAGUAAUCAGAAUUACAGUACCCACUACCAAUGGAGGAUCCAUUGCAUAGUGGUUAGGAUCAGAAUCUGAAUCACAUAACAGAAAUACCGUAUCCACUACCAAUGGAGGACCCAUUGCGUAGUGGCAUGAAUCAAAAUCAGAUAAUAGAGAUACAAUAACCGCUACCAAUGGAGGACCCAUUGCGUAGUGGCCAGAAUCAGAAUCAAAAUCAUAAGCAUAACCAGAUAAUAGAAAUACAAUAUCCACUACCAAUGGAUGACCCAUUACGUAGUGGCCAGAAUCAAAAUUAGAAUCAUAAGUAGAAUCAGAUAACACAUAGUGGCCAGAUUCAAAAUCAGAAUCAUAAGUAGAAUCAAAUAACAGAGAUAUAGUAUCCACUACUAAUGGAGGACCCAUUGCGUAGUGGCCAGAAUCAGAAUCAGAAUCAUAAGAAGAAUCAAAUAACAGAGAUAUAGUAUCCACUACCAAUGGAGGACCCAUUGCGUAUUGCCCAGAAUCAUAAUCAAAAUCAUAUAGUUAUCACACCUAGUACAUGCAUGCUUAAACAUUCACUCAUUCACAUUUCACUCUUUUUAAGAGGUCAGGACCAUUCAUGGUAUCAUAAGUAUGCCAUUUCAGUAUCUUAUAAUAGACAACUUCAAUCAUCUUGCAAAAUAAUCAAGCCAUAUUCAACAUAUCGGUGCAUAGCAGAUGUAUGAUCUACGCAACGACUAAGAAUUCAUUGUAAUUCUUAUCAGAAAUAUGCAUGUACAAGGUGAGACAUAACAUCCAACUUAUGAGGGAAAUUUACUUCAUUUCAAUUGCUCUUUCAUAGUGGGUAUGAGCCUCCCUCAAUCACAGGAAGUAUGAAGCUUAAUUAAGCCUGACCAAUUCAGGGUUAAUAUAGAAUCCUGAGAUUUUGAAAUGUCAUAUUGGGGUAUGUUUCAUAAACAGGGAUAUAAACAUCAAUUUUAUAUGGAAUUUCAAUAUAAUUCCAAAACAAACAUUCAAGUUAACAUUAUUAGCUUUCAUGUGAAAGUAAUUUGAGAGCAUUUGGACCCCAUUUGGUCCGUCAAAAUCUUAAGGUAGCAGAAGCAAUAGUUAUAGAAAUUGCUGAGUUUGGUCAUCAGCGAUGUAUUCUCAUAAUUUGAUGUAUAACUCUUGAGUUAAAAAUAAUUUCAAAAUUAUUUCAACAUGUGAAUUUAAAAGGACACAUAUACCUUUUAAAUUACAGCGGUUUGAAGGAAAUUUAAAUCCAUUCGUUCAUUUAAAACUUAUAAAAACAGGAACAAAAAUUCUGAGUUUUCUGUAAUCUGUCAAUAGUGACAUAUCCACAUACUUUGAAACACAACUCUUAAAUUAUGUUGAAUUUGGAUAAUGUUAAAAUAUGAAACUCACAGUAAACUCGUGAAUAUUUCAAAUGGAUGUGGCUAUGAAUCAUUUGGACUUCAAUUGGUCAAACAAAACCAGUGCAACUAGAGUAAUAUUUCUAAAAUUUACACAGUCUGUAAAAAGUGACAUAGGUGCAUAAAAUGAAGUACAACUUUCAAAAUAUUCAGAAUUUCAAUUGGACCCAAACAUGAAGAUUAAAAUAGACUCAGAGACCUUUCUAAUGGUGCUGAUUUGAGGAAAUUCAGAUACCAUUUGUUUGUCCAAUAAUGUAUUACAAAAUCAUGCACAGUCCCUAGAUUUUCAUGUCACAGUCAUAGCAUGCCCCAAAGAUUUAUUCAUAGCUUCCAACUUUCAUUAGAAAUCAGCAUGCAAUCCUUUCUAACACAUAAUAGAUACAUAUGCCCCCUUAAUUCACAAGUUUCCCCCAAUAAUUUGAAGAGUUUCAUCACUCAUUCAUCAUAUAAAGGCAAACUAUUGUUGCUGAAAAUUCAUAACAGAACAGUGUGCAUAUAGUGUCAUUCUUCACACCCUAUUAAUGCUCACCACCUGCUUAUUCUAGGAUCAAAAUCAUGCUUGAUUCAUGUUCAAUUCAUGCUAUGAAAUAGCAAGGUAAGGAUCCAUUUACUUUAACAACAAAAGUGCACUCCAAUCCUUCCAUGCACAGCCACUUCAAACUCCUCCACAGGGGCUCCAACAAUGAGGUAGAGGGAGCUUCUUCCAAGAUUCCUCAAAUUUCUCUUUGAGAGAGAGAGAGACCAGAGAGAUGAGAAGGAGUGGAGAGCAUGAGGGUGAGAGGGAAAGAGAGGGAGAGAGAGAGCUGGGUGGGUUUAAAAGAAAUAAGGAGAAGGGGGAGGUGAGGUGGCAGCAAGCCACCUCCAAGUGUCAUAGGGAAGGCAGCAAGUGGCACAAGGAGGGCACAAGUGGCAC